CUAAAGCCUCCUCAGACUAUUUGCUGAAAUGAAAUAUUUUCAGAAUACAGGCAGGACUGAACCUUUUAUUCUUCCUUAGGGAUAAGGACAAGGAAAACUUCAGCUCAGAUGUGGACACCUACGAAGCACUGGCAAGGGAAUGGAAUAUUCAGCCUUUCAGAGCAUCUCAGUAGAAUACCAUCUUUGAGCUGCAGUGAGUCAAUGAGGAUCUGCUUCUCCACUGGACAACAAAAUUAGGUUUUGCAGGCCAUUCUGAGCACUACGCUUAUGGACGUGGUUAUGCUGUUCCCAGACACUGACCUGACUGGAGCAGCGGGAGCUGAACACGCCUGCAAGUCUCUAGCUGCCUUCUGGCCACAGUGUGGGUGUCUGGGAAGGCUGCAGCUGCAGCAGAAGUGGAAGCACAUGGGAAAAUGACUCACCUCCCAGGGGCUAGACAUGGAUUUUCAACCCAGCAGAGCACAGGAAAUAUGACAUGAAGGUGGAGCGUUGUGCUACUCGAGGAACAAAAUGUCAUGGCAAAUAACUGCUUCGAGUCUGGCCUAUUCUUUAACAGACUUGUAGGCUGUGAAGAUCCAGAGUACAAGCCUUUACUCUGGGAACCAUUGCCAAGGAGAUGAUUAUUCAUUAAUGAUAUAAUCUUUGACCUGGAAGCCCUGUGCUCUGAGCACAGCCUGUGAAGCAACAGGGCCCUGGGGACAACCACACGUGUGUUCGAAGUCCAGCGCUGCAGGGAGUGAAAAGAGCAGCCAGUCACUGAAGAAAGAGUGAAUAACUCUCUCUGCCCGCCUGCUUUAGUGAGGACACGUUUACCAGGUGCCUCAUGAGGGACUCGAGGAAAAUACCAGAGACACCCAACUCAUUUCAUUUUGAAAACUGUGAAGGAAGAUGGUAGCUGUAGGUACCAGGAAUGUGCUGUCAUUGAAAUACAGUCCCAGUGUUUCUCAGCCUGCUCAUCCUGUGCAGUCUGUGAGAACCAGGGCACAGGGGCAAUGUAAAGUUGGAGCUGGAGAUGCCAGGGCCUGCAGCUGCCUUAGCUCAGGGUCAGCCCACAGCACACGGCUGCCUCAGGGCCCCUGGGGGCCCAGGAAGCCCCAGGUGCAAAUGUGUCUGCGUUGCACAGCUCGGACUCUGGACACACAGAGAAGCCUGUGGUCCCACAGCUUUGCAGGUGAACUAUUGGAAAUACUGAGUUUGGACUGCGGUUUAUCCAAGGUUCAUCAAGCCAGGUACGUUUUUACAAAGCAGAUUGAUUUUUACAGAUAAACCACUUCUGGACUAAAAAAGAAAAACAAGAUAAACUGUUGGAGAGCUCUCAGCUGGGUCCUUGCAUGUGGUCUUAUGUGCUGAAAAGAGAGGAUGCCAAAAGAGUUCAGAUCAACAACACAGGG
rnacentral:lncRNA from 1 species